GCCAGCUUGAGCUUCCUGUUGCUUGCUAUUGGAAACAUUUCAGCAAACCAAUGUUCCCCGAGGAAUUACGAUAUAAUCAUCAGAGGAGGUCCAUCAUUGCCUGCGGAUGAAAUAAUAUCAAGACACAAUGUUACAUCUUCAGUUGUCAUGUUAGGAUGUCACACUCACUGCAAAGACGAAGACAAAUGUGUUGGAUUCAACUACAGAACAACAAAAAAUGUCGAAAAUUGCCAACUGACCAACGUUACUAGAAAGAAAGAAGAAACGAAACUAACCGGAGAUUGGAUAUUGAUGCGAAAUGUUGAAGCAGCAAGAAAGGCGGUUGAAGAAGAAAAUCGUACCAGGAAAUCAGGUAAUUUGCUUUAGAAUUAUCACAAAUAUCAUAAUU